rnacentral:rRNA from 1 species
GCACCGGCUAACUUCGUGCCAGCAGCCGCGGUAAUACGAAGGGUGCAAGCGUUACUCGGAAUUACUGGGCGUAAAGCGUGCGUAGGUGGUUGUUUAAGUCUGCUGUGAAAGCCCUGGGCUCAACCUGGGAAUUGCAGUGGAUACUGGGCGACUAGAGUGUGGUAGAGGAUAGUGGAAUUUCCGGUGUAGCAGUGAAAUGCGUAGAGAUCGGAAGGAACAUCUGUGGCGAAGGCGACUAUCUGGGCCAACACUGACACUGAGGCACGAAAGCGUGGGGAGCAAACAGGAUUAGAUACCCUGGUAGUCCACGCCCUAAACGAUGCGAACUGGAUGUUGGGUGCAACUUGGCACCCAGUAUCGAAGCUAACGCGUUAAGUUCGCCGCCUGGGGAGUACGGUCGCAAGACUGAAACUCAAAGGAAUUGACGGGG